CCCUCUCUCUCAUUUGUUUUAGUUUUCAAAUCUUGAAAACAAGAAGAAAAUGCCAGAUUUCAAGAGAUUUGAACCACAUAUAAGCUAAAACUAGGUAAUGACCCACUCCCAAGCCUCAUUUCUUUUUUUCAUUCAAAAGCCUAAAAUCACAAUAAAUUCAAAAAAUAGGAGGUAAUGCCAAAAUUUUUUGAUUUCGGUACAAUUUCAUGAUAUGUUGUGGAUUUACGGAUGAUCCAUUCAAUGCCACCAAACUGAUGAUUUUUUUUUAACUCUA
rnacentral:lncRNA from 1 species